CGUGAGUAACCUGCCCUGGAGUGGGGAAUAACAGCUGGAAACAGCUGCUAAUACCGCAUAAUGCAGUUGGGUCGCAUGGCUCUGACUGCCAAAGAUUUAUCGCUCUGGGAUGGACUCGCGUCUGAUUAGCUAGUUGGUGGGGUAACGGCCCACCAAGGCGACGAUCAGUAGCCGGACUGAGAGGUUGGCCGGCCACAUUGGGACUGAGACACGGCCCAGACUCCUACGGGAGGCAGCAG
rnacentral:rRNA from 1 species